CCGGAAGUGCGGGCAGUACGCCGGAAGUGCCGGAAUGACGCCGGCAGCGUCCGCAGGCGUUCACAGGGAGCGUGGCAAGCUGCGGAGCAGGAUGUCCCUGAGGCGCCCGGCCGGCCUGCGCCCAGCCGCCUGCUCCCCCAGGCCGGCUGCCAAGGCGCUGAGAGAGCUCGGCUAAGAACACCCCACGCCUUACAGCUCAGCCCGUUGAAUCACCCCGUGACUCUUUUUCGAGCCCCGCGUUGGUGGGUGCCACGGGCGGCUGCGCACUUCGCCUCCAUUGGCGUGGCUUAGGCGGCAGAGCUGGGCUUAGAUCCUGCGGCCUGCGGGACGGACUUGCUCCAGAGUCUCCAGAGCCCACGCCCCCGAGGCCGCGAGAGACGGGAAAUGCGUGCGCCCGGUAUGCUGACGGCUCUGCGCGGUGCUCCCUGAUUCUGAGGAACUGCCGUCCAAGCUCCUUCACGCUCACAUUGACAGCAUCUCCGUUCCCCAGGGUGGUUGGAAAAAUGAGUCAGAGUCCACCACGUCUCCUUCUCAGGGCUGGUGUGUGGUGGGACCAG